AAACAACUAAGUACUACAGAUUCAACAUAACUUCCUCAAAUGAUGGUGGUGAAUAUGAUUGUGUUGGUCGUCAAAAGGGUUCAUCUGAAACAGAGAAAAGUGAAACUGUCUCUUUUACUGCAGCAGAGAAACCCAGGGCUACACUGACAUCAGGCACCAAAACCAUCUCAGUCGGAGGCUCAGUGAGUCUUUCCUGCUCUGUGAGAGACUCUGAUGGAUGGAAAUAUGAGUUUUACAGAGAAACAUCAAACACCUGGGAGACAAAUGUUGAGGACAACAAAGUCAAGGUAUCUAAAGGAGGAAUUUACCGGUGCAGAGGAGAGAGAGAAACAUCAGGUUAUGUCUCUGACAUGAGUGAUGAAGUCAACAUUCAGAUAACUUUCACCAACAAGCCUGUCAUAACACGACAACCCAGCUGGUCUCAGAUAUUCCAGGGUGAGGAGAUCACUCUGACAUGUGAGGUCCAGGGAGGAGAGAAGACUGACUGGAGGUAUUACUGGAGGAGAAAUUCAGUACCACUUCAACAGAAGAAUGAAAAGGUCUUAAAAGUCACUGCUUCUCAGUCCUUCAAUGAAGAGUAUAAAUGUAUGGCCACACACAAAGAUGACAUCUACUCUUCAACCACAUGGAGUGAAGCCUUCACAGUGUCAGUGUUACGUAAGUGAUGCUUGUUGGUUUUUCUUGUGUUUGUUAGAUUGAUAUUCAGACAAUGAGAUAAUAAAAUGUAACCGAGUCUCCACAAUAUUACGUUCUG